rnacentral:rRNA from 1 species
AGUGAACGCUGGCGGCGUGCUUAACACAUGCAAGUCGAACGAGAACGGAUUAUAGCUUGCUAUAAUUGUCAUCUAAGUGGCGCACGGGUGAGUGAUGUAUAGGUAAUAUGCCUCUUACUAAGGGAUAACAAAUGGAAACGUUUGCUAAUACCUUAUACUCCUUAUUAACAGAAGUUAAUAAGGGAAUGAUUUAUUGGUAAGAGAUUAGCCUGUAUUGUAUCAGUUAGUUGGUGGGGUAAUGGCUUACCAAGACUAUGACACAUAACUGGUUUGAGAGGAUGAUCAGUCACACUGGAACGGAGACACGGUCCAGACUCCUACGGGGGGCAGCAGUGGGGAAUAUUGCACAAUGGACGAAAGUCUGAUGCGGCAACGCCGCUUGGAGGAUGACACAUUUCGUUGCGUAAACUCCUUUUAUAUGAGAAGAUAAUGACGGUAUUAUAUGAAUAAGCACCGGCUAACUCCGUGCCAGCAGCCGCAGUAA